GCGGAUGGCCGGAUGACCGCGGGGGGUCACACCUUCGAGGAAAGUCCGGACUCCAUAAGGUAACGGUGCCGGGUAACGCCCGGCGGGGGAAACCCCAGGGAAAGCGCCACAGAGAACAGACCGCCUGCCUUCGGGCCGGCAAGGGUGAAACGGUGGGGUAAGAGCCCACCGGGGGGCUGGCAACAGACCCCGCAUGGCAAGCCCCACCGGGAGCAAUGCCGAAUAGGGAUCGCGCGUCGCAAGACAGGGCCACCUUGCCCCAGCAGAUCCGGGUUGGCAGCUUGACACCCGCAGCGAUGCGGCGUGCAGAUGAAUGGUCAUCCAUGGGGGAUGCGGCCUCGCGGCGGUGUUUCCCGGGACAGAAUCCGGCUUACAGGCCGUCCGCGUGU
rnacentral:RNase_P_RNA from 1 species